AUCUCACAGCUGUUUAGGAUGCAGUCAUUAACGAGACACACACACACACACACGCACACACAUUCUUGUACUUGUUGCUUUUUGAGGUCCACCUUGCAGUUCAGCUGCUUGUACACACAGUUAAUAUGUGUCUGCUUCACCACCUAUCUCCACCCACAAACUUUGAGCUACAGAAACCAUUCUGGGCUUGAAAAAUUCAGCUCAUUGAAGAUAUUAUGGGGUGUUUUGAGGAUUGUGAUAAUAAAUUGUAUUAAUGUGUUCAGCAGAGUCUUGUGUUCUCACAAGCUCCUUAUGAAUAUAUACAGAGGAUGAGCGUCAGGGCCUACUUGGAGUCCUGUUUCCUUAGCUUCAAGCCUUCUUUCUCCUGCUAUAGUUAUGCAUCCAAGGUCCCCAUGGCAACCAAUUUGUGCACCUGGAGACACACAGCUGACUGGAAAGCUGCUUCUAGUGGCCAUAUGAGACACAUGAAGCCAGGCUCAGUACACAUAGCACUGGGGAUGACACUUAAAACCCUUUCCUAGAGCGCUUGAAAAAACUUCAGCCCCUAUCUCCUCACAUGACCUUUGACCUACAGAAACCAUUCAGGGCUUUGAAAUUUAAGCUCAUUGAGGACAUUAUUGGGUGUAUUUAGGAUUGUUAUUCAUUUAAAUUUUUCACAUUUUAAAAGUCAGUCAGUGAUGAUUUAUCAUUUAAUUUUUCAAACUAAUUUAAACUCAUUCAAACUGAUUCAAACCUUUCUAAUACUUCAAAACUUUCUGAUACUUGAGGACUUUUGAUAAUUUAAAUUUUCCCUGUUUUAAAUUAGUUUUAAUAUUUAUGCAUUACUCCAUCAUUCAAACAAAAUCCUACCUCAAGUACGACAACUACUGCUAAUGUCAAUUAAACUAGAACUUUCCCCUCUACUUCAACUGCUAUUGCUCCUAUUUCUACUUUCUUUACUACUUUGACUUAUACUUCUUUUAUUCUCAAUCUACUUCUACUGCUGACAUGACUACUAGUAUCACGACUUGACUUCUUAUCAUACUACUUCUAGUACUACAAUUUAAACUUAUGCCACUUCUCACCUUCCUGCCUUUUAAGGCAAUUUCCUUCUUCAUUCAAACUUUGUGCAAUUUUAGACAUUUUUCUAGCCUCUUUCAGCAUGAAUAAAAUUUCCUUUUAUAGAGCAUAUUCAUACUAUUUGUCCUUCAACCAAUUAAUCAAUUAUCCAACUUAUAUUUCUGUUCACCCCUUCAACAGCUUUAACAUUUAUACCUUUCUCCAUGUUUUAUUAGCAGUUUAGCAUUGCUUUGUUAGCUUUCAGCACUCAGCAUUUCCACGCAUUUUCUGCAAGGAAAUGCAAUUUUUCUAGUUAUUAUUAUUAUUAUUAUUAUUAUUCUUCCGUAAUUUUUUUGCAACUUUUCAACUCCUUCAUACUUUGUCCGAUUUCAACCGUUCAACUUUUAAACUAUUCCUCUCCUUCAGGAAUAGUGCGGAUGUAUUUUUCACUUUUCUACCCUUUAUACUUUUUGAUAUUUUUGACUUUUUGUGCAAAAAUUUUCCCAUUGAAAUGAAUGGGGAAAUCUUCCAAUUCUUCCUUUUAUUCCUCCACCUUCUCAGCCUUAUAACUUCAGCAUACUUUCACCUAGAGACCUCAUUUUUGCUUUAAAAUGUUCACAAUCUUGUCGACUAUUAUGUUGUAUUGACUUUUUUGUGCUAUCUCCUACAGUUUUUCCACAAUUUAGCUUUAAGCAACUUGUGGUUUUCAGCUAAUUUUCAGGCUUUAUAAUGGGUGUGUAUUGGAGAGUUUAGAGUGAUGAUGUCAUCAGCUAGAGUGCAGACCUCGUCUCUGAUCGACAGAACCUCGCUCGAAUAUAUCGCUCCCACGCCCACAAAUCUCACUCCACUGACACAAAUAAUACAUCAAAAUGGAGGUAUAUGUGUCCUGCUUCUCACAAAAGAGGUUUCAAAUCAUUAAAUCGUACCCCUUGGCCAGCAGGUGACCAACUGUCCAAGGAAGGCGGAAAUCUCUCCCAUUGACCAUAAUGUUAUUUUUCUCCAAGAAAAUCCGAUCAUCGCUCAGGCUCAGACUUUUUUAACUCGCUGUUGUGGCCUCAUUUUUCGAAGUACAGACAUGAAAAAGACAUCAUUGUGUUCAUGAAGGGCGGAGGAUUCGUACGAUGUUCUUAUUUUCAUUCUGUGACUUAAGGAAAUCACGCUAUGUGAAGAAGUUUAGAGCCUCUAAAUCCUCUGCAGUUCAGCUGCUUCUCAUUCAAACAGUAGGUCAGUGAUUUGCCUUUGAUCUCACAGCUGUUUAGGAUGCAGUCAUUAACGAGACACACACACACACACACACACACAUUCUUGUACUUGUUGCUUUAUGAGGUCUACCUUGCAGUUCAGCUGCUUGUACACACAGUUAAUAUGUGUCUGCUUCGCCACCUAUCUCCACCCACAAACUUUGAGCUACAGAAACCAUUCUGGGCUUCUAAAAUUCAGCUCAUUGAAGAUAUUAUGGGGUGUUUUGAGGAUUGUGAUAAUAAAUUGUAUUAAUGUGUUUAGCAGAGUCUUGUGUUCUCACAAGCUCCUUAUCAGGAAUAGAUACAGAGGAUGAGCGUCAGGGCCUACUUGGAGUCCUGUUUCCUCAGCUUCAAGCCUUCUUUCUCCUGCUAUAGUUAUGCAUCCAAGGUCCCCAUGGCAACCAAUUAGUGCACCUGGAGACACACAGCUGACUGGAAAGCUGCUUCUAAUGGCCAUAUGAGACACAUGAAGCCAGGCUCAGCACACAUAGCACUGAGGAUGACACUUAAAACCCUUUACUAGAGCGCUUGAAAAACCUUCAGCCCCUAUCUCCUCACAUGACCUUUGACCUACAGAAACCAUUCAGGGCUUUAAAAUCUAAGCUCAUUGAGGACAUUAUGGGGUGUAUUCAGGAUUUAUAUUCAUUUAAAUUUUUCACAUUUUAAAGUCACUCAGUGAUGAUUUAUCAUUUAAAUUUUUCAAACUAAUUUAAACUCAUUCAAACUGAUUCAAACCUUUCUAAUACUUUAAAAGUUUCUGAUACUUGAAGAUUUUUAAUUAUUUAAAUUUUCCCUGUUUUAAAUUAGUUUUAAUAUUUAUGCAUUACUCCAUCCUUCAAACAAAAUCCUACCUCAAGUACGACAACUACUGCUAAUGUCAAUUAAACUAGUACUUUCCCCUCUACUUCAACUGCUAUUGCUCCUAUUUCUACUUUCUCUACUACUGUGACUUAUACUUCUUUUAUUCUCAAACUACUUCUACUGCUGACAUGACUACUAGUAUCACGACUUGACCUCCUAUACUUCUUCUAGUACUACAACUUAAACUUAUGCCACUUCUCACCUUCCUGCCUUUUAAGGCAAUUUCCUUCUUCAUUCAAACUUUGUGCAAUUUUAAACAUUUUUCUAGCCUCUUUCAGCAUGAAUAAAAUUUCCUUUUAUAGAGCAUAUUCAUACUAUUUGUCCUUCAACCAAUUAAACCAUUAUCCAACUAAUAUUUCUUUUUCACCCCUUCAACAGUUUUAACAUUUAUACCUUUCUCCAUGUUUUAUUAGCAGUUUAGCAUUGCUUUUUCAGCUUUCAGCACUCAGCAUUUCCACGCAUUUUCUGCAAGGAAAUGCAAUUUUUCUAGUUAUUAUUAUUAUUCUUCCGUACCUUUUUUGCAACUUUUCAACUCCUCCAUACUUUGUCCGAUUUCAACCGUUCAACUUUUAAACUAUUCCUCUCCUUCAGGACAAGUGCGGAUGUAUUUUUCACUUUUCUACCCCUUAUACUUUUUGAUAUUUUUGACUUUUUGUGCAAAAAAUUUUCCCAUUGAAAUGAAUGGGGAAAUCUUCAAAUUCUACCUUUUACUCCUCCACCUUCUCAGCCUUAUAACUUCAGCAUACUUUCACCUAGAGACCUCAUUUUUGCUUUAAAAUGUUCACAAUCUUGUCGACUAUUAUGUUGUAUUGACUUUUUGUGCUAUCUCCUACAGUUUUUCCACAAUUUAGCUUUAAGCAACUUGUGGUUUUCAGCAAAUUUCAAGCUUUAUAAUGGGUGUGUAUUGGAGAGUUUAGAGUGAGGAUUUGAAAAGCUAGAGUGCAGACCCCGUCUCUGAUCGACAGAACCUCGCUCGAAUAUAUCGCUCCCACGCCCACAAAUCUCACUCCAGAGCCAUAAAUAAUACAUCAAAAUGGAGGUAUAUGUGUCCUGCUUCUCACAAAAGAGGUUUCAAAUCAUUAAAUCGUACCCCUUGGCCAGCAGGUGACCAACUGUCCAAGGAAGGCGGAAAUCUCUCCCAUUGACCAUAAUGUUAUUUUUCUCCAAGAAAAUCCGGAUCAUCGCUCAGGCUCAGACUUUUUUAACUCGCUGUUGUGGCCUCAUUUUUCGAAGUACAGACAUGAAAAACACAUCAUUGUGUUCAUGAAGGGCGGAGGAUUUGUACGAUGUUCUUAUUUUCAUUCUGGGACUUAAGGAAAUCACGCUAUGUGAAGAAGUUCACAGGCUGAAAUUCACUGCAGUUCAGCACCUCUCAGUCAAACAGUAGGUUAGUGAUUUGCCUUUGAUCUCACAGCUGUUUAGGAUGCAGUCAUUAACGAGACACACACACACACACGCACACACAUUCUUGUACUUGUUGCUUUUUGAGGUCCACCUUGCAGUUCAGCUGCUUGUACACACAGUUAAUAUGUGUCUGCUUCACCACCUAUCUCCACCCACAAACUUUGAGCUACAGAAACCAUUCUGGGCUUCAAAAAUUCAGCUCAUUGAAGAUAUUAUGGGGUGUUUUGAGGAUUGUGAUAAUAAAUUGUAUUAAUGUGUUCAGCAGAGUCUUGUGUUCUCACAAGCUCCUUAUGAAUAUAUACAGAGGGUGAGCGUCAGGGCCUACUUGGAGUCCUGUUUCUUUAGCUUCAAGCCUUCUUUCUCCUGCUAUAGUUAUGCAUCCAAGGUCCCCAUGGCAACCAAUUUGUGCACCUGGAGACACACAGCUGACUGGAAAGCUGCUUCUAAUGGCCAUAUGAGACACAUGAAGCCAGGCUAAGUACACAUAGCACUGGGGAUGACACUUAAAACCCUUUCCUAGAGCGCUUGAAAAAACUUCAGCCCCUAUCUCCUCACAUGACCUUUGACCUACAGAAACCAUUCAGGGCUUUAAAAUUUAAGCUCAUUGAGGACAUUAUGGGGUGUAUUUAGGAUUUAUAUUCAUUUACAUUUUUCACAUUUUAAAGUCACUCAGUGAUGAUUUAUCAUUUAAUUGUUUUUCAAACUAAUUUAAACUCAUUCAAACCUUUCUAAUACUUUUAAACUUUCUGAUACUUGAGGAUUUUUAAUUAUUUAAAUUUUCUGUUUUAAAUUAAUUUUAAUAUUUAUGCAUUAUUCCAUCCUUCAAACAAAAUCCUACCUCAAGUAUUACAACUACUGCUAAUGUCAAUUAAACUAGUACUUUCCCCUCUACUUCAACUGCUAUUGCUCCUAUUUCUACUUUCUCUACUACUUUGACUUAUACUUCUUUUACUCUCAAACUACUUCUACUGCUGACGUGACUACUAGUAUCACGACUUGACCUCUUAUACUACUUCUAGUACUACAACUUAAACUAAUGCCACUUCUCACCUUCCUGCCUUUUAAGGCAAUUUCCUUCUUCAUUCAAACUUUGUGCAAUUUUAAACAUUUUUCUAGCCUCUUUCAGCAUGAAUAAAAUUUCCUUUUAUAGAGCAUAUUCAUACUAUUUGUCCUUCAACCAAUUAAACCAUUAUCCAACUAAUAUUUCUUUUUCACCCCUUCAACAGCUUUAACAUUUAUACCUUUCUCCAUGUUUUAUUAGCAGUUUAGCAUUGCUUUUUCAGCUUUCAGCACUCAGCAUUUCCACGCAUUUUCUGCAAGGAAAUGCAAUUUUUCUAGUUAUUAAGUGGAAAUGCUGAUUAAGCAUUUCCACUUAUUGUUAUUCUCCUAUUUCUUUAUUAUUAUUAUUAUUAUUAUUCUUCCGUACCUUUUUUGCAACUUUUCAACUCCUCCAUACUUUGUCCGAUUUCAACCGUUCAACUUUUAAACUAUUCCUCUCCUUCAGGAAUAGUGCGGAUGUAUUUUUCACUUUUCAACCCCUUAUACUUUUUGAUAUUUUUGACUUUUUGUGCAAAAAAUUUUCCCAUUGAAAUGAAUGGGGAAAUCUUCAAAUUCUGCCUUUUACUCCUCCACCUUCUCAGCCUUAUAACUUCAGCAUACUUUCACCUAGAGACCUCAUUUUUGCUUUAAAAUGUUCACAAUCUUGUCGACUAUUAUGUUGUAUUAACCUUUUUGUGCUAUCUUUUACAGUUUUUCCACAAUUUAGCUUUAUGCAACUUGUGGUUUUCAGCAAAUUUCAAGCUUUAUAAUGGGUGUGUAUUGGAGAGUUUAGAGUGAUGAUGUCAUCAGCUAGAGUGCAGACCUCGUCUCUGAUCGACAGAACCUCGCUCGAAUAUAUCGCUCCCACGCCCACAAAUCUCACUCCACUGACACAAAUAAUACAUCAAAAUGGAGGUAUAUGUGUCCUGCUUCUCACAAAAGAGGUUUCAAAUCAUUAAAUCGUACCCCUUGGCCAGCAGGUGACCAACUGUCCAAAAAAGGCGGAAAUCUCUCCCAUUGACUGUAAUGUUAUUUUUCUCCAAGAAAAUCUGGAUCAUCGCUCAAGCUCAGACUUUUUUUUAACUCGCUGUUGUGGCCUCAUUUUUCGAAGUACAGACAUGAAAAACACAUCAUUGUGUUCAUGAAGGACGGAGGAUUCGUACGAUGUUCUUAUUUUCAUUCUGUGACUUAAGGAAAUCACGCUAUGUGAAGAAGUUCACAGGCUUGAAAUUCACUGCAGUUCAGCACCUCUCAGUCAAACAGUAGGUCAGUGAUUUGCCUUUGAUCUCACAGCUGUUUAGGAUGCAGUCAUUAACGAGACACACACACACACACGCACACACAUUCUUGUACUUGUUGCUUUUUGAGGUCCACCUUGCAGUUCAGCUGCUUGUACACACAGUUAAUAUGUGUCUGCUUCACCACCUAUCUCCACCCACAAACUUUGAGCUACAGAAACCAUUCUGGGCUUGAAAAAUUCAGCUCAUUGAAGAUAUUAUGGGGUGUUUUGAGGAUUGUGAUAAUAAAUUGUAUUAAUGUGUUCAGCAGAGUCUUGUGUUCUCACAAGCUCCUUAUGAAUAUAUACAGA
rnacentral:lncRNA from 1 species